rnacentral:piRNA from 1 species
UCCAAUUGGACCUUGGGUGACACUGC